UCGGGAAUCUUCCGCAAUGGGCGAAAGCCUGACGGAGCAACGCCGCGUGAGUGAUGAAGGUCUUCGGAUCGUAAAACUCUGUUAUCAGGGAAGAACAAAUGUGUAAGUAACUGUGCACAUCUUGACGGUACCUGAUCAGAAAGCCACGGCUAACUACGUGCCAGCAGCCGCGGUAAUACGUAGGUGGCAAGCGUUAUCCGGAAUUAUUGGGCGUAAAGCGCGCGUAGGCGGUUUUUUAAGUCUGAUGUGAAAGCCCACGGCUCAACCGUGGAGGGUCAUUGGAAACUGGAAAACUUGAGUGCAGAAGAGGAAAGUGGAAUUCCAUGUGUAGCGGUGAAAUGCGCAGAGAUAUGGAGGAACACCAGUGGCGAAGGCGACUUUCUGGUCUGUAACUGACGCUGAUGUGCGAAAGCGUGGGGAUCAAACA
rnacentral:rRNA from 1 species